GAAACUCAAAUGAAUUGACGGGACCGCACAAGCGGUGGAUGAUGUGGUUUAAUUCGAUGCAACGCGAAAACCUUACCCACCUUUGACAUGGCAGGAAUCCUAAAGAGAUUUAGGAGUGCUCGAAAGAGAACCUGCACACAGGUGCUGCAUGGCUGUCGUCAGCUCGUGUCGUGAGAUGUUGGGUUAAGUCCCGCAACGAGCGCAACCCUUGCCAUUAGUUGCUACGAAAGGGCACUCUAAUGGGACUGCCGGUGACAAACCGGAGGAAGGUGGGGAUGACGUCAAGUCCUCAUGGCCCUUAUAGGUGGGGCUACACACGUCAUACAAUGGCCGGUACAGAGGGUAGCCAACCCGCGAGGGGGGAGCCAAUCCCACAAAGCCGGUCGUAGUCCGGAUCGCAGUCUGCAACUCGACUGCGUGAAGUCGGAAUCGCUAGUAAUCGCGGAUCAGCAUGUCGCGGUGAAUACGUUCCCGGGCCUU
rnacentral:rRNA from 1 species